rnacentral:rRNA from 1 species
UACGAAGGGGGCUAGCGUUGCUCGGAAUGACUGGGCGUAAAGGGCGCGUAGGCGGCUUGCAUAGUCGGAUGUGAAAUUCCUGGGCUUAACCUGGGGGCUGCAUACGAGACGUAUGGGCUUGAGUGCGGAAGAGGGUCGUGGAAUUCCCAGUGUAGAGGUGAAAUUCGUAGAUAUUGGGAAGAACACCGGUGGCGAAGGCGGCGACCUGGUCCGUGACUGACGCUGAGGAGCGAAAGCCAGGGGAGCAAACGGG